UACGGAAGGCAGCAGUGGGGAAUAUUGCACAAUGGGCGAAAGCCUGAUGCAGCUAUGCCGCGUGUAUGAAGAAGGCCUUAGGGUUGUAAAGUACUUUCAUCGGGGAGGAAAAACAAAACUAAUAAUUUUAUUUCUUGACGUUACCCGAAAAAGAAGCACCGGCUAACUCCGUGCCAGCAGCCGCGGUAAUACGGAGGGUGCUAGCGUUAAUCAGAAUUACUGGGCGUAAAGAGCACGUAGGUGUUUUUUAAGUCAGAUGUGAAAUCCCUGGGCUUAACCUAGGAACUGCAUUUUGAAACUGAAAUACUAGAGUAUCGUAGAGGGAGGUAGAAUUCUAGGUGUAGCGGUGAAAUGCGUAGAUAUCUGGAGGAAUACCUGUGGCGAAAGCGGCCUCCUAAACGAAUACUGACACUGAGGUGCGAAAGCGUGGGGAGCAAACAGGGAUUAGAUACC
rnacentral:rRNA from 1 species